CAGGUUGCCUGAAGAUAACCAGUCCUAGAAGCAGCUGAAUGUGGAUAUAACUGCAUGGAGCAGAGGAGAUAACCCAGCAGCUGCACCAAUCUCAUUGACAGUUUGCUACAAUUGCAUUUCGGUAGGCUGUUAUUAGACCCUCAACUACAACUACUUGUCCGUCAUUGUCCUGAUUCAGAUUGUGCUAUGCAUUUGUAAGGCUACUUUCACACUGCCGUGUUCAGUCAUCUAGUUUACAUGGAAAUCUGCACCAGAUCCUGUUGCCAAGACAUCUGCUUGCUGUCAUUUAAUAAAAACCUUCAGUGUUUG